rnacentral:rRNA from 1 species
CGACAAGCAAAAGAAGGGCGUAUGGGGAAUGCCUAGGCUCUCAGAGGCGACGAAGGACGUGAUAAGCUGCGAAAAACCGCGGGGAGCUGCACAUGAGCAUUGAUCCGUGGGUGUCCGAAUGGGGCAACCCGGCAGGUUGAAGGCCUGUCACCCAGCAAUGGGGGCGAACCCGCUGAACUGAAACAUCUAAGUAGGCGGAGGAAGAGAAAACAAGAGUGAUUCCGAGA